GAUGAAGAACGCAGCGAAAUGCGAUACGUAAUGUGAAUUGCAAAUUCAGUGAAUCAUCGAGUCUUUGAACGCACAUUGCGCCCCCUGGUAUUCCGGGGGGCAUGCCUGUCCGAGCGUCAUUGCUGCCCUCAAGCACGGCUUGUGUGUUGGGCCCCGUCCUCCGAUCCCGGGGGACGGGCCCGAAAGGCAGCGGCGGCACCGCGUCCGGUCCUCGAGCGUAUGGGGCUUUGUCACCCGCUCUGUAGNNNCGGCCGGCGCUUGCCGAUCAACCCAAAUUUUUAUCCAGGUUGACCUCGGAUCAGGUAGGGAUACCCGCUGAACUUAAGCAUAUCAAUAAGCGGAGGA
rnacentral:misc_RNA from 1 species